UACAGAGGGGGCAAGCGUUGUUCGGAAUUACUGGGCGUAAAGGGCGCGUAGGCGGCCCGUUAAGUCGAACGUGAAAUCCCCAGGCUCAACCUGGGAACUGCGUCCGAUACUGGCGGGCUUGAAUCCGGGAGAGGGAUGCGGAAUUCCAGGUGUAGCGGUGAAAUGCGUAGAUAUCUGGAGGAACACCGGUGGCGAAGGCGGCAUCCUGGACCAUUACUGACACUGAAAAGCGAAAGCCAGGGGAGACAAACAGGG
rnacentral:rRNA from 1 species